rnacentral:misc_RNA from 1 species
AACCCUCUCACAAAACAACUUUAUUGUUGCUUUGUGGAUGUUGAGUGUUGCUAUUGUUAUAUGGCUCACUUUAAAUAUAUAAGUCACACUUUUUUCAAGCAAGUUGGAUUGACUUGGUGUAAUAAUUUCAUCAUCACAUCAAGGAAAGUAGCAAUACUUGCCAUCUUUUGAAGGGAGAGACUCCUAAACACCCAUAUAUAUUAAUC